UGGAUAAAGGAUUUUAUUUGUGUUUGUAUUAUUUGUAUUUGUAUGAUCUUGCUAUUCUCAUUGCGGAUAAAACACAGUUGAAUUCACUGUAGAUCAUUUAAAGUUGUUUUUUAAAAGAAAUGAGAGCAGCAGCUGGUACUUGGAUUUAAGAGGAAAGGGAUUAGCAGACAGUAUUUACCUUCACACAGAAAAUAUUUUGAAGUAGAAGACAAGACGAGAAAAGCUAAAUCAGGCUGUCCUGCAUGGUUACAAUCUCAAAUUGAUUUUUUCGUAUAUGAUCAAAAGAAACGAAAACUCUGAACAACAACAACAAAAAGUAACUUUAUUUGCUCCCCUUCCCUCUGCUGCGUCUUUUCUUCUCUUUUUGCCCUCAGAGGACUCAGAGUUUCCACAUUUCCCUGGACUCCUUUUGUUACAGAAAAAAAGCAGGUCUCGUGGAGCAAGUUCUUUGAGCAGAAACAGAGGUGGUAUUGACUCUCCCAGAGUAAUGCAUCACUAAAGACUGAACUAUUAUUCCUUGAUAGUCAAGGAAACAUUAGAAAGCAAAUUGUUAGAGAAAAAUUGCUUUCAUUCUCACCUUCUUCUCUCACUGCUGUUAGCAUACUAAUUUAAUUUAUUCUAAACUUUUCUCAGCUGGAGCUCUUGUUCUUGCUCCUGACCUCUUGCCGUGCUGGACCCCUCACCCUCUGGGCGCAAAUGCCUGCUCCUGACACCGGCUUGGCUCAUUCCCCUGCCUCAGGUGGGGCCAACUGAUCUGCCUCAUUCUGUUGUUGCCCUGCCCUGUUCUGAAAUGAUAAGUGAUUCUCUGCCAUUGAGCUGGGCUUUCUUCACCUACUGAAU